UUUGAGAACCACUGUCUUAAAGGCACCAGAUCUCAUCUCAUCCUGGAAGCUAAGCAGGGUUAGCCCUGGAUAGUACUUGGAUGAGAAACUACUGAAGAAUAUCAGGUGAUGUUGCCU
rnacentral:rRNA from 1 species